AUAUUGGGGACAUUUUGUGUUACAGCCACUGGAGGGAUCAUGUUGCUGCCUUAACCCUGUUACCCAAGAAAAGAGUAAUCAGCUUAUUCGGGCCACACUCACAGACUCAGCACCUUUCUUUCCACAUAGCCUGCCUGAUGGGGACACCCAGAGAGGUACAGUCAACACUAGCUUUUGUACCAGAAGCUAGCCACAAUUGACCCAAAUAUUGGCCAGUAAUAUUCAUCUCCCAUAGAAGAAUUCUGAGUUGCAUAGACGCUUAGUAACUUGCUCUCUUUUUUUUUUCAAGUGCUCCAACUAAUCACUUUAUUUAAGUAACUACAACCACCUUCUAAGUAAUUUUAUAUCACUAAUUCUAGGACUUCCCCCAAACAUCAAAGUUGAGGAUGCUCUGGUUUAAUAUUUUUAUUGGACUUACACAUAUCUUCUUAUAUGCUUAAAGUCAUUUCUAGAUAACAUAUAAUACUUAAUGUUAUAACUGUGUUAUAGCUAGUUGUUAUGUUGUAUUGGUUAUGGGAAUGUGAUAAGACAAGCAACAUGGAUAGUAGAGACACAGCUAUGGCCAUUCUAGUGCCACACUCUCCAUCACUGACAAGGUAACUUUAGAACAUUAUUUUAACCUGGGGAUUAUUGAAGCCAAGGAAAUAGAACCCAAAAAUACAGAGGUCAAUAGUGUAACUUGCUCUCUUGGACAGAACAUGAUUGGCUGGUACUCUUUUUCAAAUACUUGACUCAGAUAUGAUGAUCACAAACACAUUGUAUUCUCUUGUAGUCUUAGUGUCUACACUAGAGUACUGAUCUCUCACUGACCCUGCUUUCACCUCUCAAAUCUGCAGGCUCUGUUAGACAAGUUCUGUGGUGGAGGAUCAUUUUCACCAUCUAUGUAUUCUGACUCAUUUAGGCAAGUGUUAAACAAGAUGGUGUAUGGAAUGCACAGUGUCCAACCCAGACAGGUGGUUGGGAAACUGCUUUUCCUCCUGACACCUAGAGCCUGUUCAUGGGACAGGCCAGCAGCAGGCAUCCAGGCUAGAGAAUCCCUUCAGACAGCAAUUCCUCAAGAGACCCAUUGAGUUGGUUCUCAGAUGCCUGGCAACAUCUUGAAACACGUACCCAGAUACUUCCUGACAUGAGGAUGUGCACACUCAGCAUUCCUGACGCUGAUUGAGAUGUGUCUACAGAAGAGCAAGAAACGGGGCUGAGGCCACUAAGAACAGCACCACCUGUGCACACAUCAUUACAUAGAAUGCAUAAAUUUCUUCAGAGCCUCUGGAAAGGAGUUAGCAUGUCUUUGAAUCUGACUGAGACGGGAGCAUGGAUUUCGGAGUGGUGUUUCUGUUGCUCAAAGAGCAAGGUCCAGAGUUUUUAAUACUACCAUCUCAGAAACAACUGUAAAGAAGCUUUCUUCAGAACAUCCAACAGAUGAUGCAAGUCUGGACACAGGAUACUAUACUUCACAAUAUACUACUAGUUCUGAUUUGGUUUCUUGUUUCUUGUUUUUCAUAUAUCUUUAACAAAUAAGUUAUUUAUUUUUGUACUUUAGAAAUAAUCAAGUAUGUUCAGAUAAAAUAGAGAAAGUAGCAUAUAAAUGAUUUCUCCUCCAUUGCAAUGUUUCAUGUAAAUAUUUGGAUACCCAGAUGUUGUGGGAUGUUCUGGGGCUAAUUAUACUUGACGUUAAUUCCAUUCUCCUGUGAGUUGUGUUUUCAUUGGCAAGGCAUAUUUGGGUUGAAGAUUUACUGCAACACCCAGAUGUAACAAGGAAAGAAAAUAAAAGCUAAAUGAACAGCCUGUUUGCUCCA